rnacentral:misc_RNA from 1 species
GAUGAAGAACGCAGCAAAAUGCGAUAAGUAAUGUGAAUUGCAGAAUUCAGUGAAUCAUCGAAUCUUUGAACGCACAUUGCGCCCGCCAGUAUUCUGGCGGGCAUGCCUGUUCGAGCGUCAUUUCAACCCUCAAGCACAGCUUGGUGUUGGGACUCGCGUUAAUUCGCGUUCCCCAAAUUGAUUGGCGGUCACGUCGAGCUUCCAUAGCGUAGUAGUAAAACCCUCGUUACUGGUAAUCGUCGCGGCCACGCCGUUAAACCCCAACUUCUGAAUGUUGACCUCGGAUCAGGUAGGAAUACCCGCUGAACUUAAGCAUAUCAAUAACGGAGGA